GACGAACGCUGGCGGCGUGCCUAAUACAUGCAAGUAGAACGCUGAAGGAGGAGCUUGCUUCUCUGGAUGAGUUGCGAACGGGUGAGUAACGCGUAGGUAACCUGCCUGGUAGCGGGGGAUAACUAUUGGAAACGAUAGCUAAUACCGCAUAAGAGUAGAUGUCGCAUGACAUUUGCUUAAAAGGUGCAAUUGCAUCACUACCAGAUGGACCUGCGUUGUAUUAGCUAGUUGGUGAGGUAACGGCUCACCAAGGCAACGAUACAUAGCCGACCUGAGAGGGUGAUCGGCCACACUGGGAAUGAGACACGGCCCCGACUCCUACGGGAGGCCGCAGUAGGGAAUCUUCGGCCAUGGACGGAAGUCUGACCGAGCAACGCCGCGUGAGGGAAGAAGGUUUUCGGAUCGUAAAGCUCUGUUGUAAGAGAAGAACGAGUGUGAGAGUGGAAAGUUCACACUGUGACGGUAUCUUACCAGAAAGGGACGGCUAACUACGUG
rnacentral:rRNA from 1 species